rnacentral:rRNA from 1 species
UGGCGGCAUGCUUAACACAUGCAAGUCGAACGGCAGCACGGGAGCUUGCUCCUGGUGGCGAGUGGCGGACGGGUGAGUAACACGUAGGAAUCUGCCUAGUAGUGGGGGAUAACUUGGGGAAACUCAAGCUAAUACCGCAUACGCUCUACGGAGGAAAGCGGGGGAUCUUCGGACCUCGCGCUAUUAGAUGAGCCUGCGUCCGAUUAGCUAGUUGGUGGGGUAAAGGCCCACCAGGGAGNCGAUCGGUAGCUGGUCUGAGAGGACGAUCAGCCACACUG